GGUUAGCUCAGUUGGUAGAGUGCCGGACUGCAGUGCGGGAGAUCGCGGGUUCUAUUCCAGGCCGGACCA